GGCUUAAUACAUGCAAGUCGAGCGGUCUCUUUCGGGAGACAGCGGCGGACGGGUUAGUAACGCGUGGGAACGUGCCCUUUAGUACGGAAUAGCCAUUGGAAACGAUGAUUAAUACCGUAUACGCCCUUCGGGGGAAAGAUUUAUCGCUAAAGGAUCGGCCCGCGUUAGAUUAGGUUGUUGGUGGGGUAACGGCCUACCAAGCCUACGAUCUAUAGCUGGUUUGAGAGGAUGAUCAGCAACACUGAGACUGAGACACGGCCCAGACUUCUACGGAAGGCAGCAGUAGGGAAUCUUGGACAAUGGGCGAAAGCCUGAUCCAGCCAUGCCGCGUGAGUGAUGAAGGCCCUAGGGUUGUAAAACUCUUUCGCCAGGGAAGAUAAUGACGGUACCUGGUAAAGAAACCCCGGCUAACUCCGUGCCAGCAGCCGCGGUAAUACGGAGGGGGUUAGCGUUGUUCGGAAUUACUGGGCGUAAAGCGCACGUAGGCGGACUAGUAAGUCAGAGGUGAAAUCCCGAGGCCCAACCUCGGAACUGCCUUUGAUACUGUUAGUCUAGAGUUCGGGAGAGGUGAGUGGAAUUCCGAG
rnacentral:rRNA from 1 species